rnacentral:rRNA from 1 species
AUGCACCUUACAGGCCUUCGGCGACCGUUCCAUUGCCACCGCGGGCUGGUUGGGCUAGCGAGGCUUCUCGUCGUGCUCCCACCGUCCCAGACCGCCGGCGGCCUCCCCUGUCUGGCCACAUCAUACAUCUCCCGCCUCCUCGCCGUCAGCUGCAUAUGCGAGGAACCGCGAGACGAGGUCGCCGAGGAGAUCUCGGCUCCGUUUUCCUCAGUCGCGAUGCAGCCGGGCGGUGGGCGUUGGCAUGUCCACCGCGUCCGCAAGGUGUUCGGCGCAUUGCGCGACCGCGCCCUCGACGAGAGCCCACUGGCGUCAGCGCACUCAUGGACACGUGUUAUUCAGCUAAUCUUGUCUACUUGUUGCUUGUGCUGUCGUGCGUUUACCAGGGACGGGAAUUUCAGAAGCUGGAAUCCGGAAGAUUGUUCCAAUAGGUGGAGGCAGAUACAGAUGAAGCAGCUGGAAGCCACACAGAGGAUCUCUUCCUGCGUUCAUCCAGCUUAG